UCGAGAAUCAUUCGCAAUGGGCGGAAGCCUGACGGUGCGACGUCGCGUGGAGGAUGAAGGUCUUAGGAUUGUAAACUCCUGUCAUGUGGGUUAAAUGGCCGGGGCACGAAUAGUGCCUCGGAAUGAUAGUACCACAGGAGGAAGAGACGGCUAACUCUGUGCCAGCAGCCGCGGUAAUACAGAGGUCUCGAGCGUUGUUCGGAUUUACUGGGCGUAAAGGGAGCGUAGGCGGUUCGGUAUGUCGAAUGUGAAAGCCCACAACUCAACUGUGGAAAUGCAUUCGAAACUGCCGGGCUAGAGUACUGGAGAGGAGAGCGGAAUUCUUGGUGUAGCGGUGAAAUGCGUAGAUAUCAAGAGGAACACCGGUGGCGAAGGCGGCUCUCUGGACAGAUACUGACGCUGAGGCUCUAAAGUUAGGGGAGCAAACAG
rnacentral:rRNA from 1 species